UAAAAAUGAAAAAGGUGGCUUAGAAAACGGCAGUGAAGAAGCUUAGCCAAAGUGCAUAUUCCCUUCUUCUUCUUUAAUGGCAGAUCUUGUGUUCCCUUUAUCUACAUUUUGAAUUCACGGCGUCGUUUUGAAUUGUUUGAGACGAAUCGUUCCUCCGAGUUGAGUAAAUCAGUGAUCGAAGAUGCUGGACGGAAUCUAAGGCCGUGGUUUUGCCUCAAAAGUAAAUCAUUGAUUAAAGUGAUAAAAAGUCGGAUUGAUGUGAUACGGAGGAAAAGGAGCGCGACGCUUAAGUUUUUGAAGAAAGAUAUAGCUGAUUUGCUCGCUAAUGGACUGGAUAUUAAUGCUUUCGGCAGGGUGGAAGGAUAUAUAGCUGAAUUGCUCCUUUCGUCUUGCUAUGAUUUUAUUGAGAAAUGUUGUGAUUUCGUGUCGAAGCAUGUUUCGGUCAUACAAAAGCUGAG